UUCUCCUACGGGAGGCAGCAGUGGGGAAUAUUGCACAGUGGGGGAAACCCUGAUGCAGCGACGCCGCGUGAGUGAAGAAGUAUUUCGGUAUGUAAAGCUCUAUCAGCAGGAACGAGACAAGACGGUACCUGACUAAGAAGCCCCGGCUAACUACGUGCCAGCAGCCGCGGUAAUACGUAGGGGGCAAGCGUUAUCCGGAAUCACUGGGUGUAAAGGGAGCGUAGACGGCUGUGCAAGCCUGGAGUGAAAGGCCGGGGCCCAACCCCGGGACUGCUCUGGAAACUAUUGAACUUGAGUGCAGGAGA
rnacentral:rRNA from 1 species